rnacentral:lncRNA from 1 species
GUCGGGCCGACGGACGGCGGCGGCUCAGGUGGAGGCGGAAGGAGGCUUCGGCCGCGGAGCGUUAAGAUGGAGGCGCCUGUCUUCGAGAGUGUGGGUGCCGCGGUGGGAGCGGGUGGCCGGGUAAGCCGUGCGCGCCGCCGGGAUCCUACUCUCCGUCUAGCCUACCACGUGGAGCGGGAGGAGGAGCGAGACUCUGAGCACCGGGCCCUCUGCGACCUGGGGUCCUGGGUGAAGUGCUUCGUUGCCCUUGCCUCCAGGUACCCUGGCAAAUCCAGGAAACAGCUCCACCCAGCAGCUGGCUCCAGGUGGGCCAAGUGGAAUUCUGGAACUCCUGCCCGUGCUGCUGAGAAGACCUGGAUUUUGUUCCCAGGCACAUCAGUGUCAACAUCAAUGGGGGAUAAAAGGAUGAUCGUGUGGCACACAGGAGCUGGGAAGUCAUCGCUGACCCUGGGCUUCUUUCAGAUCAAUGAGUCUGCCAAAGGAGUGAUCAUCUGUGACAUCACCACCAAGAUUGGCCUGCACAGCCUCUGCUUCAAGAUCACCAUCAUCCCCCAGGAUCCUGUUUUGUUUUCGGGUUCCUUCUGCCUGAACCUGGACCCGUUCAGCCAGUACUCAGAUGAAGUCUGGACAUCCCUGGAGCUGGCUCAGCCCUUCCUGAUAAGCUGGACCAUGAGUGCAUAGAAGGCAGAGAGAACCUCAGCAACUGCAGGCAUGGACUCUGGAGUUGGACACGCUUAAGUUCUAACCUGGUGACCUUGGGCAACUGAUUUAACUCUCUGCUCAUCUGUAAAAUGACAACGGUAACUUCACAAGCCUCUGAGGGUGUUCUGGCUCAUGUCUGUAAUCCCAGCACUUUGGGAGGCCAAGGCAGGUGGAUCACUUGAGGCCAGGAGUUCAAGACCAGUCAGGUCCACAUGGCUAAGCCCUGUCUCUACUAAAAAUACUAAAAUGCGCUAGAAUGGUGGCACACACCUGGGAAACUGAGGCACGAGAGUCACUUGAAACUGGGAGGUGGAGGUUGCAGUGAGCUGAAAUUGCACCAUUGCAUUCCAUCCUAGGUAAGCAAGACUUCAUCAAAAAGAAGAAAGGAGGGAAGGGAGGAGAGAGGGGGAGAGAGGAGGAGGAGCCGGGAGAGAGGAGGAGGAGCCGGGAGAGAGGAGGAGGAGCUGGGAGAGAGGAGGAGGAGCCGGGAGAGAGGAGGAGGAGCCGGGAGGGGAAGGAAAAGAGGAAGGAAGGGAAGGGGAAAGAAAGUAAGAAAAGAAAAGGUACACAUGUGCUUGGCCAGCCUCCUGGAGCAGGGGAUUGGGGUGGGAGUAUUGUCUGUGGACUCAGUGGGGACAGCUCCCCUUCUUGUGCUCCUGCCAUCUUUCUUGAAAAUAGCAUUUCCAAAUAGAGAAACAGAGGGGACUCCUUCAGCCUGUAUCAAGACGACAAGGAGUCCAUCUGACCUGGGCUAAUCAUCCAAGGCAGACCUGUAGUAGUUAAACCACAGAUGCAUAAGCAAGAAGUAGCUGCUGUUGUAAGCUGAUGGAAUCUGAGAGAUUGUUAUGCAGCACCAUCACAGCAAAAGCUGACAAAUACAAAGAGAAAAAUUGGACUCAAGUGGAAGGGGGCGGUGAGAGAAACUUGGGUUAGGACUGGAUGCUAAGGGCAUCCUCUGCCUUUGCCCUGUGCCCUCUGACACGUUCUCAAACUUACUGUUCCCUAGAGUAGCCUGCCAGGCCCGAUGACCUGGUUGAAGACGUGCUGGCCGACCUGGGUGUCCAGAGCCACCAGGGGGUCAUCCAGCAGGUACACAGCUGCCUUUCUGCACGUAGCCCGGGUGAGGCUCAACUGCUGCUUCUGGCCCCUGAGAGAUUCACGCCCUGUGGCCACAAAAGGAAUAGUAUCCUGAGUCUGCAUCUGCAGGGUGAAACUGGGGAGCCCAGGCAGGAGCAGGUUGGGGCACAUCUGCUCAUCAGGGUGAGGUGUAGCUCCCCAUGCCUGUCCCCUGGGGACAUGCUCAGCUUCAGAGGCACCCACUCCCAGGCCAGCACCCACUCCCAAGCCAGCAUCCCCUCCAUCCAUACCAGCCUCACUUCUCCCCUUCCCUGCACGCUUCCUGGAGGAGUUACCUGCACUUCCCAAGCAACUCCGUGUCCUACUUACUCCGUAUCCAUGAGUCCACCUUCUGUUCCCUUUCUCCACUGAGACCACCUUUAAGGAGGACACCAUUCAUUUCCCUAUUCUAUGACCCAGUGGUAACUUUUCAGUCCUUUAACUUUAAAUUUUAAUUGACAUACCUUAGUUUUUAUUGACAUGUAAUAGUUGUACCUAUUUGAGGGGCACAGGUGAUAUUUUGAGACCUGUAGAGCAGUGGUCCCCAACUUUUUUGGCACUAGGGAUCAGUUUUGUAGAAAACAUUUUUACAUGGACCUGGGGGCAGGGUGGGGUGGUUUCAGCAUGAUUCAAGCACAUUACAUUUAUUGAGCACUUUACUUCUAUUAUUAUUUUUAUCAUUAUUUAUUGAGAUGGAGUUUUGCUCUUGUCACCCAGGCUAGAGUGGACUGGCGUGAUCUUGGCUCACUGCAACCUCUGCCUGCUGGGUUCAAGCAAUUCUCCUGCCUCAGCCUCCCAAGUAGCUGGGAUUACAAGUGCCUGCCACCACACCUGGCUGAUUUUUUGUAUUUUGGGUAGAGAUGGGGUUUCACCAUGUUGGCCAGGCAGGUCUCAAACCCCUGACCUCAGGUUAUCUGCCCGCCUCACCCUCCCAAAGUGCUGGGAUGAUAGGCAUGAGCCAUUGUGCCUGGCCUGCUUCUGUUAUUACCACAUUGUAAAAUGUAAUGAAAUACUUACACAACUCACCAUAAUGUAGAAUCAGUGAGAGCCUGAGCUAGUUUUGCACAAACUAGAUGGUCCCUCUGGGGCGAUGGGUGACUGUGAUAGAUCAUCAGGCAUUAGAUUUUUACAAGAAGCAUGCAGCUGCAGGGCGUGGUGGCUCAUGCCUGUAAUCCCAGCACUUUGGGAGGCCGAAGCAGGUGGAUCACGAGGUCAGAAGUUUGAGACCAGCCUGGCCAACAUGGUGAAACCGCAUCUCUCUAAAAAAAUAGAAAAGUUAGCCGUGCAUGGUGGUAUGUGUCUGUAAUCCCAGCUACUCAGGAGGCUGAGUCAGGAGAAUCGCAUGAACCCAUAAAGCGGAGGUUGCAGUGAGCCAAAAACAUACCACUGUACUCCAGCCUGGCAACAGAGUGAGACCGCAUCUCAAAAAAAGGAGCAGCAGCAGCAUGCGGCCUAGAUUCCUUGCAAGUGCUGUUUACAGUAGGGUUUGCUCUCCUAUGAGAAUCGAACAUUGCCACUGAUCUAGAGGUGGAGCUUAAGUGGUGAUGCCAACAAUAAGGAGUGCCUGUAAACACAGAUGAAGCCUCACACGCCUGCCCGCUGCUCACCUGCUGUGCUGCCUGUCCAGUUCCUAACAAGCCUCAGACGUACUGAUUUGUGGCCAGGGGGUAUGGCCCAAAAAAAAAUCAGUGCCACAGAAAAAAUCAACCCCUGCUGUAGACAGUAUUUUAAUGAUCAAAUCGGGGUAACUGAGAUAGUCAUCACCUCAAAUAUUUGUCUUUUGUACUGGGAACAUGACAGUCCUCGUCUUCUAGCUAUUUUGAAAUUUACAAAUAAAUUCUCAUUCACUAUGAUUUCCCUUGUGUACUACUGAUUACUACCACUUAUUCCUUCUAUCUAGGCCUUCUUGUCUUUCAUGCAUUCUUUUUUAAAAUUAUUUUUGUUUUUGAGACAGCGUCUUGCUCUUUCAUCCAUACUGGAGUGCAGUAGCAUGAUCUCAACUCACUCCAGCCUCCACUUCUUAGGUUCAAUCGAUUCUCCUGCCUCAGCCUCCCGUGUAGCCGGGAUUACAGGUGCGCCACCAUGCCUGGCGAAUUUAUUUUUAGUAGAGAUGGAGUUUCACCAUGUUGGCCAGGCUGGUCUCAAACUUCUGACUUCAAGCAAUCCACCCACCUAGUCCUCUCAAAGUGCCGGGACUCCAGGCAUGAGCUACCAUACCUGACCAUUCAUUCAUUCUUACAUCCAUUUAUUCCACUAACAACUACUGCCUUGUUAUCAUAUCCCCGGCAGGGUUCUAGGCUUUGGGAAAACAGCAAUGAACAAAACAAAGUUUCUGCUCUCUGAAUGGAUCCGUCAUUCUAAUUAGGAGGAGAGAGACAGGUGAGCCAUAAACAAACCAGUAACACAGCACAUCAGGUGGAAAGCACUAUGAAGAAUAAAUACGAAAGCAGGUACAGCCAGGUGUGCUGCUCACGCCUGUAAUCUCAGCAGUUUGGGAGGCUGAGGUGAGUGGAUCACUUGAGGUUAGGAGUUUGAGAUCAGCCUGGCCAACAUGGUGAAACCCCAUUUUGACUAAAAGUACAAAAAAAAACCCAGCCAGUUGUGGUGGCAUCUGCCUGUAAUUCUAGCUACUCAGGAGGCUGAGGUGGGAGGAUUGCUUGAACUUGGGAGGUCGAGGUUUCAGUGAGCCAAGAUUGCGCCACUGCACUGCAGCCUGGGGAACAUACCAAGACCCUGUCUCAAGAAAAUAAGGGAAAGGAGAAAGGAAACAAAAUGAAAAGCAGGUGUGGGCGUAAGGCGCACUAGCAUGAGCAGGG